UCGAUUGAGUUUGAUCCUGGCUCAGAACGAACGCUGGCGGCAGGCCUAAUACAUGCAAGUCGAACGCACUCUUCGGAGUGAGUGGCAGACGGGUGAGUAACGCGUGGGAACCUUCCCAAUGGUACGGAAUAACUCCGGGAAACCGGUGCUAAUACCGUAUAAGCCCCUCGGGGGAAAGAUUUAUCGCCAAUGGAUGGGCCCGCGUCGGAUUAGCUAGUUGGUAAGGUAAUGGCUUACCAAGGCUACGAUCCGUAGCUGGUCUGAGAGGAUGAUCAGCCACACUGGGACUGAGACACGGCCCAGACUCCUACGGGAGGCAGCAGUAGGGAAUCUUGGACAAUGGGCGAAAGCCUGAUCCAGCCAUGCCGCGUGAGUGAAGAAGGCCUUAGGGUUGUAAAGCUCUUUUGGCGGGGACGAUAAUGACGGUACCCGCAGAAUAAGCCCCGGCUAACUUCGUGCCAGCAGCCGCGGUAAUACGAAGGGGGCUAGCGUUGUUCGGAAUUACUGGGCGUAAAGCGCACGCAGGCGGAUUGAUUAGUCGGGGGUGAAAUCCCGGGGCUCAACCUCGGAAUUGCCUUCGAUACUGUCAGUCUUGAGUCCGGGAGAGGUGAGUGGAAUUCCUAGUGUAGAGGUGAAAUUCGUAGAUAUUAGGAAGAACACCAGUGGCGAAGGCGGCUCACUGGCCCGGUACUGACGCUCAUGUGCGAAAGCGUGGGGAGCAAACAGGA
rnacentral:rRNA from 1 species